UACAGAGGUCUCAAGCGUUGUUCGGAUUCAUUGGGCGUAAAGGGUGCGUAGGUGGCGCGCUAAGUCAGGUGUGAAAUUUCGGAGCUUAACUCCGAAACUGCAUUUGAUACUGGUGUGCUUGAGGACUGGAGAGGAGACUGGAAUUCAUGGUGUAGCAGUGAAAUGCGGUAGAGAUCAUGAGGAAGACCAGUGGCGAAGGCGGCUCACUGGCCCGAUACUGACGGCUGAGGCGCGAAAGCGUGGGGAGCAAACAGG
rnacentral:rRNA from 1 species